rnacentral:rRNA from 1 species
UCAAAAACAUGUCUUUUUGAUAAUAAUUUAAAGUCUAAUCUGCCCACUGAUAUAAUUAUUAAAGGGCUGCAGUAUAUUGACUGUACAAAGGUAGCAUAAUCAUUAGUCUUUUAAUUGAAGACUUGUAUGAAAGAUUUGAUGAGAUAUAAACUGUCUCUAAGUUAAAAAUAAAAUUUAAUUUUUUAGUUAAAAAGCUAAAAUUUUGUUAAAAGACGAGAAGACCCUAUAAAGUUUUAUAAUUUAUUUAUUUAAUAUAAAAUAUGUAAAUAAAUAUAAUAAUUAAAUAAAUUAUUUUAUUGGGGUGAUAGAAAAAUUUAAUAAACUUUUUUACAUAUAUAAACAUAAAUAAGUGAUAAAAUGAUCCAUUAUUAAUGAUUAAAAGAAAAAAUUACUUUAGGGAUAACAGCGUAAUAUUUUUUUUUAGUACAAAUAAAAAAAAAAGUUUGCGACCUCGAUGUUGGAUUAAGAUAAAAUUUAAAUGCAAAAGUUUAAAAUUUUGAUCUGUUCGAUCAUUAAAAUCUUACAUGAUCUGAGCU